rnacentral:rRNA from 1 species
GACGAACGCUGGCGGCGUGCCUAAUACAUGCAAGUCGAACGCAGUGGGGACGGGUGAGUAACACGUGGGUAACCUCCCCAUCAGAGGGGAUAACACUUGGAAACAGGUGCUAAACCGAUACUGAUGGAUGGACCCGCGGUGCAUUAGCUAGUUGGUGAGGUAACGGCUCACCAAGGCCACGAUGCAUAGCCGACCUGGGAGGUGGAUGGGCCAAACUGGGACUGAGACGCAGGCCAGACUCCUACGUGAGGCAGCAGUAGGGGAUCUUCGGCAAUGGACGAAAGUCUGACCGAGCAACGCCGCGUGGGUGAAGAAGGUUUUCGGAUCGUAAAACUCUGUUGUUAGAGAAGCGGUAUCUAACCAGAAAGCCACGGCUAACUCCGUGCCAGCAGCCGCGGUAAUAC